AGAGGAUCUGGGAAAUGAGGAGGAGCCGGAGGAAAGUGCUCAGGAAGAACAAAUGAUUGAGCACGAGGGGGAGAAUUCCAUCAACUCCCCCCAAUCACCAACCCAAUCCAUCAACUUCCUCCACUGUCAGGAAUCAUCUGGCACCAACAACUGCCAGGAAAGCCCAGAGG